rnacentral:rRNA from 1 species
GAUGAACGCUGGCGGCGCGCCUAACACAUGCAAGUCGAACGAUUAAAGCACCUUCGGGUGUGUAUAAAGUGGCGAACGGCUGAGUAACACGUGGGCAACCUGCCCCUCUCAUUGGGAUAGCCACGGGAAACCGUGGAUAAUACCGAAUACUUCGGGACUUCCGCAUGGAAGACUCGAGAAAGCUCCGGCGGAGAGGGAUGGGCCCGCGGCCUGUUAGCUUGUUGGUGGGGUAAUGGCCUACCAAGGCAAUGAUGGGUAGCUGGGUUGAGAGACCGACCAGCCAGAUUGGGACUGAGACACGGCCCAGACUCCUACGGGAGGCAGCAGUGGGGAAUCUUGCACAAUGGGCGAAAGCCUGAUGCAGCGACGCCGCGUGCGGGAUGAAGGUCUUCGGGUUGUAAACCGCUUUCAGCAGGGACGAGGCGAAAGUGACGGUACCUGCAGAAGAAGCCCCGGCUAACUACGUG